GGAAGAAUGACUGAGUGGUUGAAAGUAACGGUCUUGAAAACCGUCGUAUCUCUGAUACCCAGGGUUCGAAUCCCUGUUCUUCCUCCA
rnacentral:tRNA from 1 species